GGCGAGUGAAGCGGCAAAAGCUCAAAUUUGAAAUCUGGCGCCUUCGGUGUCCGAGUUGUAAUUUGAAGAUUGUAACCUUGGGGUUGGCUCUUGUCUAUGUUUCUUGGAACAGGACGUCACAGAGGGUGAGAAUCCCGUGCGAUGAGAUGCCCAAUUCUAUGUAAGGUGCUUUCGAAGAGUCGAGUUGUUUGGGAAUGCAGCUCUAAGUGGGUGGUAAAUUCCAUCUAAAGCUAAAUAUUGGCGAGAGACCGAUAGCGAACAAGUACAGUGAUGGAAAGAUGAAAAGAACUUUGAAAAGAGAGUGAAAAAGUACGUGAAAUUGUUGAAAGGGAAGGGUUUGAGAUCAGACUCGAUAUUUUGUGAGCCUUGCCUUCGUGGCGGGGUGACCCGCAGCUUAUCGGGCCAGCAUCGGUUUGGGCGGUAGGAUAAUGGCGUAGGAAUGUGACUUUACUUCGGUGAAGUGUUAUAGCCUGCGUUGAUGCUGCCUGCCUAGACCGAGGACUGCGAUUUUAUCAAGGAUGCUGGCAUAAUGAUCCCAAACCGCCCGUCU
rnacentral:rRNA from 1 species